CGAAAUUACUGAAAAUUCGUAUCGAUUUGAAUUAUUUAACGCUUACAAUUAUUAUAAAUGUGGAAAACUAUGAAGGAAAUAUAAUAUACAAACAUUUUAUACUCGUAGUCAUAUCUCUUACAUUCAUAGCUUGUAAAUUUUGCAAACCACAGGCUAUGCGAAUGCAAAAUACCCUCGUAAUCUAUGAGUCGCGGCUAUAAAAACAAUUUGUUUAUUUGCCUUAGACGGCGAGUCCUAACAAAUGCCGUAGUUUCCUUGGAACUCACAGUGUGACCAUGACUGUGGCCUUGGGAGGGACACAAGCCACAAAACAAAAACUAAAACCGCAAAAAAAAAAUCAAGUUCAAUGAAAAGCUGACAUUGAAACGAUAGACAGCAUCCCCGGUCCAGUCCAUCCCUUUCGCUCCUCAUCCAUUUUGCAUUCAGCUUUUCGAAAAAGCGCUCAAAAUCUUGUCAAUGUCAGAAAGCUAAGAGUGCAAUGGAUAGGACAAACACAAAUGCAAUGACAGCAGCACCCACAAAACAUACACACACACACAACCAUUGAAUAUCGAAUGGGCACAAGCAAGGAAUUUACAUACAUUUAAUGGAAAGAUGUUUCGUCACAGCUUCAAUUCUCUUUUCAUCUGUGAUUCGUACAAGCGAAUGGUUUAAAACGGAAUGUCCAAUAAUCCAAGAACAAAUUGUAUGCCUUGAGCAAAACGAGGCAUAUUUUCAUCGGGACUGGG